GUGAAUCAAUAUUUGUAGCAACGUAGCGAGCAAGGAAGAAAAAAUCGAAUGGAGAUGGAAUUAUUGCAUACAUCAGGCAACAAAAGUCAUGCUCGUGUUUCUCAUGAAAUGGUGUAUAAUGAUCUUAUAUAACUCUAUUUUGCACCAUUUCUUGAUUGUUAUGAACUAAUUAUAAGAAAAUGAAUGUAGCAUAAGAAGAAUGGAUAUCCCCCUCAGAGACAUGAACUAUUUAUUCAAACACACACGUGCAAGAAGACUGGUGCACUUUCAAGUGUGGCUGCAGCAACUAUAUUUGAAAGUAGAGGAAUGGGUAUGUGAGGUGUAUAGGUCUAGGACCAAGUGCUGCAGGUUUGGGCAUGCCGGGUAAUAGAAAGCUGAAAUCCAUGAAGCUUCAAACGGCUAAGGAAGAAGCAAAAGAAGCUUGGCAAUCAAAUGUAAUUCUUGUUGAGCAUGUAGAGAAUAAUUUCCAAACAGUAGUUACAACUCUGAAGGAUGAACUUCAACAAAUGAGGAGACUGUUACAAUCAAAAGUGCAGCAAAAUAUUUAGUUCAAUCAAGAGUACGGCUUGUCUCACUCUAGAUAUGGAUAUGGAGGUGGCCAUGGUGGUGGCUAUCGAUAUGAAGGUGCCCAUGGAAGUGGAUAUCGACAUGAAGAUGGAUAUGAAGGUGGAUAUGAAGGUGGAUAUCGGCAUAAAGAUGGAUAUGGAGGUGGACAUCGACAUAAAGAUGGAUAUGAAGGUGGAUAUGGAGGUGGUUAUGGACAUGAAGGGGGGUAUGAAAAUUAAGGGGAGUAUGAGCAUAAAGAGAGUGCAUAAUCUGCCACCCGCAGCCAUGAGGUGCGGCAAGAGAAAGAAUCAGCCAUUUUGCAUAAGAAGACUCAAGAAGCACUCUUGCAAAAGAAGUUAAUAGCAUCCACUCAGAAAAACUUUUUACUUUCUGGUACCGCUCAACAUGAGGUGCUACAAGAGAAUGAAGCAACCAUUUUGCAAAAAAGAAGGCAAUAGGGAUCACACAACAAAGUAAGGAUGUGGCACUUCAUCGCCAGAAGAUGGCAACAAGCAAGGAAGUUGAAAUCACACAAAAAAAUCAGCAGAAAGGGAAGGAUGUGAUCCUGUAUAAUGUUUAUUGAGAUCAUAGUAUCCCAGCGGCAAAAGCAACCAUUCUGUCAAUUGAUCAGAAAAAGGAGGUAGGUGGUUAGGAGCUUGGCUCUGAAUAUUGUCAGGUUGCCCUGAACUAUGUAAUAAAAAGGGAUGCUAUACUACCUUGUGGUGUUGCGAACAUGACCACCAUGGGGCAAGCUCACGGGUGAUGUAUCGCAUGGCCAUACAAGCAUUUGGAAGUGGACAAGGCCAUGGAAAAAGCGGGAAUGCGACCACAAGUAGGCUAAGGAGGUUUCACAAAGGUGCACAAGUCGAUGAAGAUUUGGAAGGUUUUCAAGCUCCUGAAGAUUUGGAAGACCUACAAUAGUUGGUGGAGUGAUUAUAUAAUAUUCUUGUUUAGUUUGUGAAACUUGGACACACUUUCUCCACUCAUUUUGCUGCUUGAUAAGCCAUCUGCUCAUUUAGGUUGUGUGGCACACCCAAAAACAUGUACUUCUCCAUUUGUUGCACUAUUUCAUUUUGUUGGUUGUGUGACACAUUUUAAAACAUAUAUGCGCUGUACCUUU
rnacentral:rRNA from 1 species